rnacentral:rRNA from 1 species
UACGAAGGGUGCAAGCGUUAAUCGGAAUUACUGGGCGGAAAGGGUGCGUAGGCGGUUCGUUAAGUCUGUCGUGAAAUCCCCGGGCUCAACCUGGGAAUGGCGAUGGAUACUGGCGAGCUAGAGUGUGUCAGAGGAUGGUGGAAUUCCCGGUGUAGCGGUGAAAUGCGUAGAGAUCGGGAGGAACAUCAGUGGCGAAGGCGGCCAUCUGGGACAACACUGACGCUGAAGCCCGAAAGCGUGGGGAGCAAACAGG